AAUAAAUUUUAUGGGUUUAACAACAAUAUUUUCAUCUUUCCCACAAUUCAAUAAAAUUUCCUGGGUUUAACAACAACAUUUUCAUCAAUCCCACAAUUUUAUCAAAUUCGAUGAGUUUAACAACAACAUAUUCAUUAUUCACACAAUUCAAUAAAAUUUCAUGGUUUUAAUAGCAAAAUAUUCAUCAUUCCCACAAUUCAAUCAAAUUUCAUGGGUUUAACAACAACAUUUUCAUC
rnacentral:lncRNA from 1 species